UACGGGGUGGGCAAGCGUUGUUCGGAAUUACUGGGCGUAAAGGGCUCGUAGGUGGCCAACUAAGUCAGACGUGAAAUCCCCCGGCUUAACCUGGGAACUGCGUCUGAUACUGGGAGGCUUGAGUAUGGGAGAGGGAUGUAGAAUUCCUGGUGUAGCGGUGAAAUGCGCAGAUAUCAGGAAGAAUAUCCGUGGCGAAGGCGGCUCUCUGGUACGGCACUGACGCUGAGACGCGAAAGCGUGGGGAGCAAACAGG
rnacentral:rRNA from 1 species